rnacentral:lncRNA from 1 species
GGGGGUUUUGAGAUUGAUUUGAUUAACAACUACUGAAAGCAAUUAAAUCACUACUGAAAGCAAUUAAACCAGCAACUAAUUAAAAUAAAAGAGAAUUCAAUAUGAGAAAGGUCUAGUUGAAGAUAUGGAUCCACCUUGGUUGUUUGGAUUGAUCAUUAAAACUUAGUUAUCUUGAUUGAUUCAAUAGAUUAGUUAUGGGGGUGGAAGACGCUUCUCACCACCAUGUCUCUCCUUAUGAAUAAAUCAAUUAGGGAAUGUUCUCUAAUCAAUUACUAAUCAACAAAUUUCCAAAGAACGUCCUUGGGCCAUAGGCAUCAAAACAAUUGUCAAUUGCAUGAAGAAAUAGAGAGAUCCAAUCCUAGCUACUCCAAACGCAUGAAGAUGGUGCUAGAUCAUACAAUUUCUUGGUUUUUACACCAAGUGUUCUUAGAUCAGAAUAUUUUCAGCAAUUACGGACUAAAAAAAUAUCUCAACUAACAAUUUAUUACCUUGCAAUCAAGAAUCAAGUGGUCAAUUUGAUCAAAACAGCAAAGCAAUCUUGGAAUUAAAGCAUCAAUUGCAUGAAUAUUGAACAAAAUCAAAGACAAUAGUUUAUGAUCAGAUCUCACAAUCCAUUAAACAACCUUAGUUUCAACCAAUUCUCAACUAGAAUAGGAGUUUCAGCCACUCAUGGCUGAACCAAAACAGAAAAUUAAAGAAAAGAAGAAGAAAGAGGAACCGAUUUGAUGGAAAAGCCUUGGAGUGUGGCUGCCCUUGCUUGGCCGAAUUUGGGGAGUUGAAUUCUGCCUCUUCUAGGCUGCUUGAAGGCUUUAAAUAUGUCUUGGGAGGCUGCCUAGGGUUUCAUGGCAGUCCAUGAGUCUUUUAGAGGCUGCCUAAAGUGCCCUUGGUCCAACAUGUGCCUUCUAUGUGCAUGUGUGAAGGAAAAAACGUGGAGCAUGUCUUGAAUUGCAAGUGGGGGCUCUUUAGUCUUUUAAUUGCUGUCCAAGGUCUUCAAUAUACUGCCCAAGGUGUGUCCAAGAGGCUUCCCAAGUGUCAAGUUGCUGCCCAAGUGUCAAGUUGCUGCCCAUGCAAAAAUAAGGAAGGUGGAGCCUCCUUUUGCAAUUUUAAAUUUUGAAUGUGCAAGGCAUGUGUGGCAUGUGUGACUUUCUUUGGCUUCUUUGGCAAGCUGAAUCUUGAAAUUCAAUAUUUGAAUAUGAAUCUUGAAGAUUUAAAUUUCAAAAUACUUUCCUUGUUUGGCUCUCCAUUUAUGGCAACUUGAGAUAUGAUUUCUUGAAUAAGGAAAGAAGGCAACUUGAGAUUUGAAAUUUGAAUUUCAAAUUGCUUUGGCUGAAUGUUCUUUCCUUCUUUGGCACUUUUCUUAUUUAGAACUUUCUAUAUUGAGCUUUUCUUGAUUUCAACUUGGCAGGCUUGCUCUCUUUUGCUCCAAAUAAGGCAGUUUUAGGGGCAUUUUCUCCAAAGUGUCCUUUUACACCAUUUUCUGCAAAAUAAUACCAAGAGCACUAAAUUAAGCAGAAAUCAUGUAAAUAAUCAUCAAUAAUAUCAAGAUAAAAUGGACUAGAAUAUGUUCUAUCAAAUACCCCCACACUUAGCCUUUUUCUUGUCCUCAAGCAAAUAAACAUAGUCAAAUAAGCUUUCUUUGCUCUAAAUCCUUAUUUCCACUUAAGCUCUUACUCAAGACACCUAUUUUGAAUCAUUGCAGUGAAGAAUAUAUGCAUGAAGAUUACUCAACUUCUUUCCUUGUUUCCCUUUACUUACCAUGGCUAGGAUCUAUUUUCCUCAAGAGAGACCAUACAUGCACAUUAUUUGUUCAGAUAAGACUUUUUCUAGCUUUCAGAGUGACUUGUCCUUACCUUGAUGUACUUUAUUUAGGCUUUUGCACUUAGAUUUUGCUUGAAAAAGUCACCAACCUUUUGACGUGAAGGUACAUAUUUGUGAUACCCACCUCCAGUUACUCAGUUGGUCACCUGUCCAAGUGGCUACUAGCUCUGUUCGUAGUCUUUUGACCAUUGGAACAGUUUUUUAAGUUUGUGCUUUUGAGGUCUUUGCCUUUGCUAAAUUUUCUUUUUCUCAAUGAUUUGGGCAAAUCAACACCAAUUGCUAAAUCAAGUUAUGUUAAGUUCAUUUACACAAAUUUCAAUUCAUUCUCUUCAAUUGAGGGUCAUCAAUAUAUUUUUCACCAUAGCAAGCUCAACGAUUCAAUUCAAAAGGCAAUUCUCAAACAUGAAUAUAACUCACUGCAAUUGAUUCAACAUAAGUUUAAAGAGUCAUCACAUCAAUGGAGUCAUGGCAAGAAAACUCAUCCAACAUAGUUCAUCAGUUUGAGUAAAACAAAUCAAAAAGAAGAAGAAGGUUGUGGUUGUGUGUGUGUUAUUGAAAGCAUAAAACAAACAAAAAGAAAACUGAAAGCAUAAAUCGCAUAACUGAAAGGAAAAAUCGGAAAGAAAAUAAAAUUUUUUUCGCAAAUCUGAAAGGGAUCUUGCGCAAAACUGAAAGGAAAGAGGAGAAGAAGAAAGAAGAAGAAGAAGAGAAGUAAGAAGAGAUAUGCACCCCCACACUUAAAUCAUGCAUUGUCCUCAAUGUAAAAGAAAAGAGAAGAACAAAGGAAUCUGAAUACUCCCCUGGGGUGUGGUGUGCAUGGCGUGAUCACUAGGCAGACUGAGAUGGUUUUUGUAGUGGAAUUUCUUCUACUAUUUGUACUGCGAAUCCUUCAUAGAAAGGUUUCAGGCGAUGGCCAUUCACCUUGAAGAUUUUUCCUAUCUCUACACUACGAAUUUCUACAGCUCCAUGUGGAUAAGCAUGUUCCACAAUGAAUAGUCCAAUCUACCUAGACCGUAGCUUACCUGGAAACAAUUUUAAACGAGAGUCAAAGAGUAAGACUUUAUCACCAACCUUAAAUUGUUUUCUUGAAAGCUGACUGUCAUGGGAGGCUUUGGUUUUUGCUUUGUAGUUCCAAGAGUUCUCAUAUGCAUCUCGUCUGAUUUUCUCUAGUUCUUGCAGUUGCAACUUGCGAUGUUGUCCAGCUUCUUUGAGGUCCAUGUUGUAAUUCUUUACAGCCCAAUAUGCCUUGUGUUCAAGUUCAACUGGAAGGUGACAAGCUUUUCCAUAGACCAAUCUAUAAGGAGACAUACCUAUGGGGGUCUUGUAAGCUGUCCUGUAGGCCCAUAAAGCGUCCGCCAAACUUGAGCUCCAAUCCUUGCGGUUGGGAGAAACUGUCUUUUCAAGGAUGGCUUUGAUUUCUCUAUUGGACACUUCAACUUGCCCAUUUGUCUGAGGAUGGUAGGUUGUGGAUGUCCUAUGUAUGACAUUAUGUUUUCUGAGGAGGCUCUCUACUACCUCAUUGCAAAAGUGGGCCCCUCUGUCACUGAUGAUUGCCUUUGGUACUCCAUGUCGAGCAAAGAUGUUGGUCUUCACAAAGUCUAUCACUACUUUGGCAUCAUCAGUCUUUGUUGCUCUAGCUUCCACCCAUUUGGACACAUAAUCCACUGCAAGGAUGAUGUAAGUGUAUCCAAAGGAUGGUGGGAAUGGGCCCAUGAAGUCUAUAUGCCAUACAUCAAACACAUCACAGACCAUGAUGGGGUUCUGUGGCAUUUGAUUUCUUUUGCUCAGAUUUCCAGUCUGUUGACACCUAGCACAAGAUCUGCAAAAGAGAAAGGCAUCUCGAAAAAUAGUGGGCCAAAACAGACCACUUUCAAGUAUCUUAUGAGCAGUCUUUCUUGGACCAAAGUGUCCACCACAACUAUAUGAAUGACAAAAAGUGAGAACUGAAGCUAUUUCUUGGUCUGGAAUACAUCUCCUUAUUAUUUGGUCAGCACAAUGUUUCCACAAAUAUGGCUCAUCCCAAACAUAGUAUUUGGCAUCUUUCUUUAUCUUAUCUUUGGUGUGUUUUGGCAUGUCAGAAGGAAAGUUACUUGUGGCCAGAUAGUUUACCAUGUCUGCAUACCAUGGUUCAUCAGAUUGGGCAAGGAAGAUUUGCUUAAGUAUGUCAUUGUUAUAUUCUUCAGAUUCUGAGAGGUGUUGCAAGGGUGUCUGCACAGAGGUGGUUUCAGAAGUCUCCUUUUGCGCAGGACUUGACUGUAGAGGAGGUGGCGUAGAACUGGAUUCAGAGGUCUCUUCUUGCGCAAGACUGGACUGAGAGGGAAGUGGAAAGGAGCUGAUUUGCGUGGGAGGCUGAAAGGGUGUGCCUGAAAGGCUUUCAGGUGCCUCUUUCUACGCAAUGCCCUUCUGCGCAUUCUUCUGAAGAGGUGCUUUAGAGGUUCCUUCAUUCUGUGCUUUUCUGACUCUCAUUCCUGCAAAGGUCAUCAUUCAGAAUACAAUCUUGAUUCUCAUCAAAUAUUUCCUGGCUUAAGCAGUUAAUAAUAUCAAGACCAUAAACAGGGGACAUAUCAUGUAGAUAUUUCAUAGCAUCAUAGACAUUGAAUUUAAUGACUUCCCCUUCAAACUCCAUACUCAAAGUACCAUUAUGCACAUCAAUCUUAGUCCUAGCAGUACUCAAGAAAGGUCAUCUAAGAAGGAUAUCAGAACUAGUAUUGCAACUAUCUUCCUUAGUAUCAAUCACAUAAAAAUAUACAGGAAAGACAAGUUCAUCUACUUGCACUAACACAUCUUCUAGAACACCUAUGGGAUAUACCACAGAUCUAUUAGCUAAUUGAAUCACAACUCUUGUGUCUUUCAGUGCACAUGCAUUCAGAGAUUUGUAGACGGAAAGAGACAUGACAUUAAUGGAUGCACCAAGAUCACACAUGGCUUUUUUAAUACCAACAUUCCCUAUCUUGCAAGAAAUAAUAAGCAUACCUUUGUCUUUGCAUUUAGUAGGGAGUUCUCUUUUAAUUACAGCAGUAACUACUUCACCUACACUUACUUUCUCUCUCUCAGCAAGCUUUCUUUUAUUGGUGCAAAGUUCUUUCAGAAAUUUUGCGUACCUGGGAAUCUGCUUAACAGCAUCUAGCAGAGGUAUGUUGAUUUUCACCUUUCUGAAGGUGUUAAGGAUCUCCUUUUCUUCCUUUUCUUUUUGUGUUCUUUCAAAUCUUUUUGAAAAAGGAGGUGGAAUCUGAAAUCUUACUUUUUGAUCAGUUUUGUGCUCAGGGAUGGGUUCAGAUUGCGCUGAAGGUGUUGCAGAUGCUUGCCCUUGCGCAAAUGGCUCUUCAGAAUGCGCUGGAGAGGCUUUUGAAUCAAUUGGUUUUUGCGCUUCUUGCUUUUCUUGCUCAUAACUAGCAUUUUGAAGCUCUUUUCCACUUCUCAAAGUGAUGGCACUAACAUUCUGUCUGGGAUUAGUUUCUGUUUGAGAAGAGAGCUUACCUUGGGUUUCAGAUUUGCUCAUUAGCUGUCCCACCUGUUGUUGGAGAGUCUGCACAGAAUUUGUAAGUGUUUCUAUCAUCCUUUCAAGGUGCUGAUUGGAACUUGAAGGUGUUGGUUGGGCCUGAUUCCUGUGGAAGUUCUGAUGGUUCUGAAUAUUGUUGGCCCUUCCAUAGCUGAAAUUGGGAUGGUCUCUCCAUCCUGGAUUGUAUGUGUUGGAAUAUGGAUCAUGUUUAGGCUGGUAGUUAUACCCUCCAAUGGCAUUUGCUUGUUGGUGGUCUUCUUGGAGUGUAGGACAUUGAUCAGUUGGAUGUCCCACAUAUGCACAAAUCCCACAUGGCCUAGGUGGCUGGGAUGCUUGAAUCUGUUGCACCAGUCCUAUGGCAAAAUCUUUCAUAACAGAUGUUAGUUCAGAAAUAGUAGGUGAACUUACCUCAUUGACUCCUCUCUGCAGUUGCUUUUCUUCUCCAUAUUACCUAGAUGAGGCUGCAAGUGUUGAGAUCAACUCUCGCAUCUCCCUAGGUGUCUUGUCUACAAUGGAUCCUCCACAAGCUACAUCAAUGAAUCUCCUUUCUGAAGGGGACAUUCCUCCAUAGAAGAACUGUAUGAGGGACCUGUUUGACAUAUGAUGUUGUGGACAACCUGUACAUAGUCUUUCAAACCUUUCCCAAUAAUCAUAUAAGUCCUCAGUUGAUUUCUGUCUUAUGUUAGUGAUCUCUCUUAUUAUGCCAAUUGAUUUAGAUGUUGGGAAGUAUUUGUUCAAAAAGGUUUGGACCAUAUCAUCCCAAGAAGUGAUAGAUCCAGGUGGCAAAUAAAAUAACCAAUCCUUAGCAUAGUCAUCUAAUGAAAAAGGAAAAGCUCUUAACUUAACAUGAUCUUCAGAGAUACCUUAAGGUCUCAUAGAUGAACAGACAAUAUUGAAUUCUUUCAAGUGCUUUUGUGGAUUUUCAUUUUGCAAACCUCUAAAUUUAGGGAGAAGAUGAAUCAAACCUGUUUUCAGUUCAAAUGGAACUGUCAGAGGUGGAUAGGUGAUGCAAAGUGGUGCAUGAUCACCUACAGGUGUUGCCAAUUCUCUCAUGGUUCUUUCUCUUUGUGCUUGGGGUCUAAUGGCUGGAUUUUCUUGAAUUAUUUGGUCUUGGACAGCAUGUCCAUUAUUGGCAGCAACUUGUGGAAUAUGUUCAGCCAUUUCAGGAGCUUGGUUGUGUGGUUGGAGUGUUUCAGAUGAAGCUUCUGCGCAAGAAGACUGCUCAGGCGCAAGUGCGGCUUCAGUUGUGUGUUUAGGCGCAGUGGCUUGCUUUCCUAGUCUUCUGAGAGUGCGUUCAAUUUUUGGAUCGUAAGGGAGAGUGUCCCUACGUUCAGAUCUGGUCAUGAAAGAAAAUUAAACAAGUAAAAUCAAUUCCCCGGCAACGGCGCCAAUUUUUGACUCGCGGUUGUCGAAGCCGAUCAAAAAUAACCUUUCUAGUUAUCAACAAUUUACAACUACAGAUAGUGGUAAAAGGAUCAAAUCCACAGAGAAUUGAUUACCAAUCUAUUUUUCUCAACAAGACCAAGAGAAUUAACUGAAAGCACAAUUGAAAGCAAGUAACUGAAAGCAUAAUAGAAGUAAAGUGCAGUAAAAGUAAAAAGGGGGGUUUUGAGAUUGAUUUGAUUAACAACUACUGAAAGCAAUUAAAUCACUACUGAAAGCAAUUAAACCAGCAACUAAUUAAAAUAAAAGAGAAUUCAAUAUGAGAAAGGUCUAGUUGAAGAUAUGGAUCCACCUUGGUUGUUUGGAUUGAUCAUUGAAACUUAGUUAUGGAGAUGGAAGACGCUUCUCACCACCAUUAUCUCUCCUUAUGAUUAAAUCAAUUAGGGAACGUCCUCUAAUUAAUUACUAAUUAACAAAUUGCCAAGGAAUGUCCUUGGGCCUUAGGCAUCAAAACAAUUGUCAAUUGCAUUAAGAAAUAGAGAGAUCCAAUCCUAGCUAUCCAAACGUAUGGAGAUAACGCUAGAUCAUACAAUUUUCUUGGGUUUGAUCCCAAGUGUUCUCAUGUAAGAAUAAUCUAAGUAAUUAUGGACUUAAAUUAUUCAAACUAACAAAUAAUUAUUUUGCAAUAAAAAAUCAACGUAGAUCUCAAUAACAAAAUAAUAUGAAAAUUAAAUAUGAAAUUGCAUGAAUAUUGAGUUCCCAAAAGUUAAACAAUAUUAGAUCAAGUCUCACAACCCAUUAAUCAACUAAAGUUUCAACCAAUAUUCAACUAGAUCAAAGAAACCAGCCACUCAUUGGCUGAAUUAAAAACAGAAAAAUAAAAGGGAAAAGAAAAGAAAGGAACCGAAGAGCUGAUUUCUUCCUUUGCGCAGAAGCUUGCGGAAUCGCCGAAUUGGAA